CCUACGGGAGGCAGCAGUGGGGAAUAUUGGACAAUGGGGGGAACCCUGAUCCAGCGACGCCGCGUGAGUGAAGAAGUAUUUCGGUAUGUAACGCUCUAUCAGCAGGGAAGAAAGAAAUGACGGUACCUGACUAAGAAGCCCCGGCUAACUACGUGCCAGCAGCCGCGGUAAGACGUAGGGGGCAAGCGUUAUCCGGAUUUACUGGGUGUAAAGGGCGCGUAGACGGCGAGGUAAGCCUGAAGUGGAAGCCCGCGGCCCAACCGCGGAACUGCUUUGGGAACUGUUUUGCUGGAGUAUGGUGGGGGUAAGCGGAAUUCCUGGUGUAGCGGUGAAAUGCGUAGAUAUCAGGAGGAACACCGGUGGCGAAGGCGGCUUACUGGACCAUAACUGACGUUGAGGCUCGAAAGCGUGGGGAGCGAACAGGAUUAGAUACCCGGGUAGUC
rnacentral:rRNA from 1 species